rnacentral:rRNA from 1 species
UACGGAGGAUCCGAGCGUUAUCCGGAUUUAUUGGGUUUAAAGGGUGCGCAGGCGGGGGAUUAAGUCGGCAGUGAAAUUUUGCAGCUCAACUGUAAAAGUGCCUUCGAAACUGGUUUCCUUGAGUGUAGAUGAAGUAGGCGGAAUUUGUGGUGUAGCGGUGAAAUGCAUAGAUAUCACGAGGAACUCCGAUUGCGCAGGCAGCUUACUAAACUACUACUGACGCUCAGGCACGAAGGCGUGGGGAUCAAACAGGAUUAGAUACCCUGGUA